rnacentral:rRNA from 1 species
CAGCCGCCGCGGUAAUACGUAGGGUGCAAGCGUUAAUCGGAAUUACUGGGCGUAAAGCGUGCGCAGGCGGUUUGUUAAGACAGAUGUGAAAUCCCCGGGCUCAACCUGGGAACUGCAUUUGUGACUGGCAAGCUAGAGUGUGGCAGAGGGGGGUGGAAUUCCGCGUGUAGCAGUGAAAUGCGUAGAUAUGCGGAGGAACACCGAUGGCGAAGGCAGCCCCCUGGGCCAACACUGACGCUCAUGCACGAAAGCGUGGGGAGCAAACAGGAUUAGAUACCCGUGUAGUCCCUGUCUCUUAUAC